CCUACGGGAGGCAGCAGUGGGGAAUAUUGGACAAUGGGGGCAACCCUGAUCCAGCCAUGCCGCGUGUGUGAAGAAGGCCCUCGGGUUGUAAAGCACUUUCAGUGAGGAAGAACGCCUGGUGGUUAAUACCCAUCAGGAAAGACAUCACUCACAGAAGAAGCACCGGCUAACUCCGUGCCAGCAGCCGCGGUAAUACGGAGGGUGCGAGCGUUAAUCGGAAUUACUGGGCGUAAAGCGCGCGUAGGUGGCUUGAUAAGCCGGUUGUGAAAGCCCCGGGCUCAACCUGGGAACGGCAUCCGGAACUGUCAAGCUAGAGUGCAGGAGAGGAAGGUAGAAUUCCCGGUGUAGCGGUGAAAUGCGUAGAGAUCGGGAGGAAUACCAGUGCGAAGGCGGCCUUCUGGACUGACACUGACACUGAGGUGCGAAAGCGUGGGUAGCAAACAGGAUUAGAUACCCGGGUAGUC
rnacentral:rRNA from 1 species